UCAAUUUAAUUUUUGGUUUUUCUUCUUUUCUGACUUUUGUUUUGAAUUAUUGAUUCAAUUCUACAAAGGCGAAUUAUAUGAAAUUGCCAUGAUUAUGACAAUUGAAAACAAAAAACAAAAUACAUGGUAAUUGUUGUUUUUUUUUAUUUCCUGCUCUCACAUUUAUGAAUUCGAGUUGGUCACAAAGGUUUCAGAAAAUUGUCAACGCAGUCUGUAUGAAAAAUCGCCAAUAUUUUACACAAAGCAGUUUGACAUCAGCUGUAUCGAAUUUCAAGCCCUUGCCGAAAAAAUUUAGUUCAAGACGAAUGAUAGUACAUACUAUGUCUAAACGAUCGUUUGAUAAUUGUAAAGAACUCAGUUUGCUUAAUCACGAGUGAAGGUGAAUUUUUGGAAGGUGAAGUUAACAUCAUAUGAUUGCUUGUUCUUCCUUCUAUUUCAACAAAUUACACAAGCAAAAUACGUUGGAAUAGGUUUUGAAAUUACGAACUUUUUAUAAUACCAACAAAAUAUAUUUUGAACGAAUUUCGUUUUUGAUUUUUCGAAACUUUGACUUCACAAAGAAUAAAAAGGCUUUUGGUUUUUGUAUUCUUGCUACUAUCGUGUGUAAAUUUGCCGAGUGAAAAAAUUUCUAAUUCUUCAUAUUUUUGUUUGUAGAAUUGACGUGCGUGAGGAUAAGUAUCUGUUCUGCUUGCCUUACUCGUUUUUCGAAUUGUAAUUAGCGGCCAUUAAACUAGUGUGGUCAUAAUGCCCAAAAAAUGUUUGAAUUUGUAAGCCCUUACCUUUUGGAAACGAAUAGGUAAUGCCGAUCGAUUAAAUAAAAAACUUUUCGAGCCUAUAUAGAAACAAGUCGGCGCAGGCGUUUAGUGACAGUUUGAAGUUUAGUCGUGUUUUGUCGUUGGAGCAACUAAAAACUAUGCUUAGUUCGUGGUUUUAUAAUACGUAUUUUUUUGCCACAGGAUGAAAAUGAAGGAUUAGAGAAACUCGAAGUGGUGUAAGCUCAUGCAGAAGAAAAGACGAAGUAUUUCGGUUCGCUGAAGAACAGCAGCUUUCGGACAACUUAAGUCAGCACCGACCGAAACACCAGUGUUGCAAUUAUAUAACCCGAAAGCUGAAACAGAGAUCCAUACCGACGUUAUAAGCUUGGGUACGGAGGUGUUUUACUUCAAAAAGGCCCAGAUGACCAACAAUUCCACCCCAUACAAUUCAUGAGUCGUAAAACUAGACCCGAAGAGGAAAAGUAUCACUCGUAUGAGUAGGAAGUCCUCGCCAUAACACAGGCUUUAAAAAAGUGGCAAAUUUAUGGAAUCGAUAAAAAAUUCAAAAUUGAAAGUGAUUGCCAUGCGUUCGCAUUAAUAAUGAAGAAACAAGAUAUACCACGAUGAGCUAUGUACUUCCAAGAUUUCGAUUAUGUAAUCGAGCAGAGGUCGGCAAUAAAAAUGAAACAAUUUGAUGCUCUAAGCCGAAUAACUACAA